ensembl:lncRNA
CCUUCUCAGAAGUUGAGUCUUUGUGUGUGCUGGAGUUAUUUUGAUGCCUGCUUUCUUGAUCAUGAAAUGUUGCUGAUCUUGUUUCCACCUUCUGUCAUUUUUCCCUACAGUUUUCACUUGUUUUGCAUAAUUAGUCAUUCUGUCAUUGAUGUAGGAGAAAAGGUCAUCGGGGUCAGAGGUCAGCCAAAGUAGAAAGUCUGUCGAGCUUUCACUCGGCUUACAUCCAGAUCUAAAAAUAAUCUCCUGUUUAUGCCUAAAAAUGGUCAAAUUAAAAUAAGUGGGACACUAGCUUUUAUUCAGAAAAAAAAAAACAUUGGGUUACAUUAACAAUUUUGAUGUAGACUGAACAACAUACUAAAAAAAAUCUGAUGGCGUUUUCUGUGCUGAGAUUAUGUUUUAAUAUUUUUUUGAUGCCACAAGAUAAUAUAAUCAAUAUAUUCAAAAGAUUCAGGUCGGUAAGUUGUGCUUCUUAUUUAUUGAUUGAUUUAUUUUUUUUAAUUAUUGCUUUUCUUCAGGUCUCUUUAAAAAUUCAAUACAAUUCCUACAGCAACUGACAUAUAUAUACAUGUAUGCAUGUGUAUUUAUUUAGUUAUGUGUAAAGUAAUAUUUUAGAUUUUAAGGGGCUAGGAGGGUAAGAAUGAAAGACAAAGAUGGGGAGAGAAAGAAAGAGGCAAAGAUUGCUGGACUGGAGCAGAUGGAGCAGUCCUUCCUCCAGAUGUUUGAAGGUGCCACUCUCACCUGGAACAUAGCGACAGAUGUGCUAAUUACACACACGGACACACACACACACUUUUCUUUUUUUCUCACAUUUAUUUUCUUCUUCUUGUGCUUUCUCUCUCACACACAAACAAUAAGAUAAAACCCAGUGAAUAUUUCUCGCUAACACCCGAAAGCAAUAUCCAGACGUUCCUGACUUAAAUUUUUUUCAGUUAUUUUAAGUAUUUAUGAGUUUUUGAGAGGAGCAGAGAGUGUAUGUGUUUUUCAGCAGAGAAGAGGUUUUUGCUUGAGUCUGAGGUUUAGAAUUUGUAAAUGAAAAAGGGCUCACUCUGACCCAGGGGCAGAUCACGCGCACACACUGCAGAAGAGGCUGACAGGCUCAUCUCAGAGACAAAGCAGUGUGCAGGAGAGCAAACGCGGUUUGGAGAGCAAAUUCAACUGUUCUGCUAGUGAGUUCACAUUAAGCUGUCCCUGGAUCAGUGGCUUGAUGAACUGGGUUAGUUCACAGACAGAACCGGAACAUUGAUUAAUGCAGGUAAAGACUGUCAGCAGCCUGAAAUUAAUAUCUAGAAAAAAAUGACCAGAAGUUGCUAUUGGGUUUUAUAGCAAGGGCAGUGUGUUCUCGCAAUCGGCAAUAAUAAUUAAACAAUCCCUCAUUAACCCACUUGAUCCCAAACGGUGUGUUUUAGUAUUGUUUACAUAUUGUAUGCUAUUUUUAUAUUUUGUUGACAUUUUAUGUUGUUUUAUUAGCUUUUAAAUCUCUAUAGCUUUUAGUUUUAGUAAUUUGAGAAAUUCAGUUUACACUUAGGGCCUACUGUAUUUUCAGUACUUGCCAAAGCAACAUUUCUAAUUUUCAUUUACAUAAAAAUACUUCAUCUAAUGUCUACAUUUAUUUAUUAUAUAUUUUUAGAUAUUUUAUUUCAGCCAUUUUCCUUUACUGAAAAACGUUUUUAACCGUUUCAGUUAACCUGCUAUGUGAGCACAUGUAUUUUACUCCUUGGUUUAACUGAUGCAAUAAACUUUAUGCCUACAGAGUUUAAAAGAUGUUG